AAUAUAAACUGGGAAUUAUGACUAAGAGUAAGGGCUACUGAGGUUUUGAUGAAAGCUACACUAAGGCUAUAAAAGAAUCAUUUUACUUGGAUAGUUAACUUUUGGACUAUUAUACGCCAAAUUAUAUUCUGCUCGGAUCGGUUAGCACACUCAUUAGGAUAUACAGGUAAGGGGAAAGCAAAGGUUGAGCAGCCAUGAGUUCGGGGUCAUAGCAGCAAUGUACAUAUCAGCCGCAGUGUUUCGGCCCAGUAAUCAGGAUGCUCUAUUUUGAAAGUAUUUUGGGAGUACAAAGUUUAUGUUAUAAAAAUACUAUUAAACCAGUUUGUGAAUAUUUUGAAAACAGGGGGACCCCAUGGUUAAUACCAAUUAUCUUUUAUCAUAGUCUAUGUGUAAAAUUUUUAAUUAUCAAAAUAUUAAUUACCCACACUUUUGAUAUAAUUAUAUAGUAUCUAAAGAAUAAUUUUAUAAAAGCACACACGUGGCGUCCCUGUUGGACAGGGCGUUACAAAUAGCCUAGGGUUAUUACCCUAGUGAUAUAUGUGUAUAAAUUCCAUGUUAAUUGAAAUGAAAUUUAGGGAUUAUGUGCAUAAGGCAUAAUCAGGUUGGACUCGGUACACAUAACCGAGAUGAACCACUUCUAAGGCCUUAAUGUAAUUAGACGUGUGAGAGCAACACAUGAGUCUACAUCACGUAGAUUUAAUUAGAUGUGUGAGCGCAACACAUAGGUCUACGGCACGUAGACAUAAAUGGGCAUGUUGAUAUAAUGAUCAGGUCUGUGCUAUACAGACAUAUGUGAAUGAGCAUACUAUAUUUGUUAUGAUUUAUACUGUCUUGCUGGGCUUGUCUCACGGGUGUUCUACUGUGCAGUAAAGGGUAAGGCAUUAGCUGAUCAGCCAUGAGCUUCAGGAGCAGGGCGAAGAAUGUACAUGUUCAUGCCACUUCAGACCAAGCGGGUUAUGGGUCUAAUAGUGUUGACUUUUGUAUUCUGUUUUGCCACUUAGGUCGGCUAGUAAGAAAGAACUUGUAAUAAGUUUGUAAUUAUUUUUGGGAUCCGAACUAUUUUGAAAAGUUUAAAUAUAUUACAAGUUUAUUUUCAUUCUGAUUAAUAUAAAAGUUUAAAUUCUGCGCUA